rnacentral:tRNA from 1 species
GGCGGGAAGUGCCAGGGGCGGGCUGAAAAUCCGCGUGUCGUCGGUUCGAUUCCGACCCCCGGCA